AUAAUCUCUUAAGAGGCCAAACAACAUCUUCUGGAACUGAGGGCAGGCACAUCAUCUUGCUGCCAUUUUUACCGAAGUUUCUGCUCACACAAGUCCAGCCACAAACGCUAUCUUCUAUUUCAGAGAGAGCUGCUAACACCUGUGGGACAGGGCCUCACUGUGGCAUUGAUGACAACCAAAAGCAGCCCUACACUAAGAGCAUGAGGCUGUGCAUACCAACUGCAUCUCCCAAGGGCAUGGAGGUUUUGCAAUAAAACUAACACAGGUCUUUGCAAGGGUGAGUACCAUGGAAGAGGUAACUUUUCAAGCCCAGCAGUGCUCCAUCCCCAUCACCGGAUGAGAAUUAUCUGCCAACACUGGGUGCUGUGGAACUCAUUGGCUUUAGCUGGUCUGCCUGAGCUUCUGCCAAGCACGACAUGAAGACCUGAAGAGCGGCGAGCACCUCUGGGGCUCCGUCGGUCUCCAGCAGCACAGACCUGGAGAGAGCAAGGUCUGGAGAGAUGGCUCAAUGUUAAGAGCACUUGCUGCUUUUCCAGAGGAGUUGAAUUCAACUGCCAGCCUCCAUAUCAGGCAGCUCACAACCCUCUGCACCUCUGCGGGCACCUGCACCCAUCUGCAUAUACCCACACAGACAU